rnacentral:rRNA from 1 species
UACGUAGGGCGCAAGCGUUAUCCGGAAUUAUUGGGCGUAAAGAGCUCGUAGGCGGUUUGUCGCGUCUGCCGUGAAAGUCCGGGGCUCAACUCCGGAUCUGCGGUGGGUACGGGCAGACUAGAGUGAUGUAGGGGAGACUGGAAUUCCUGGUGUAGCGGUUAAAUGCGCAGAUAUCAGGAGGAACACCGAUGGCGAAGGCAGGUCUCUGGGCAUUAACUGACGCUGAGGAGCGAAAGCAUGGGGAGCGAACAGG